rnacentral:rRNA from 1 species
GCACGGUUCGGGGGCAACUCCGGGCAGUGGCGGACGCGUGAGGAACGCGUAGGGAUCUAUCCACGGGUGGGGGACAACCGCGGGAAACUGCGGCUAAUACCGCAUGACGAGCCUGGUCGAGAGAUCGGGUUCCAAAGCUUUCACGAGCGCCUGUGGAGGAGCCUGCGUCCGAUUAGCUUGUUGGUGGGGUAACGGCCUACCAAGGCUUCGAUCGGUAGCUGGUCUGAGAGGAUGAUCAGCCACACUGGGACUGAGACACGGCCCAGACUCCUACGGGAGGCAGCAGUGGGGAAUAUUGGACAAUGGGCGCAAGCCUGAUCCAGCAAUGCCGCGUGGGUGAAGAAGGUCUUCGGAUUGUAAAGCCCUUUCGGCGGGGACGAUGAUGACGGUACCCGCAGAAGAAGCCCCGGCUAACUUCGUG